CCAGCCUUGCUCUGCCCCAAUGCCACACACUUCACGAUGGCCACCACCACCUCCACCACUACCUUCGCCAACUCUGCAUCCCCAUUCUCCACCACACUGGGUACAAACCCCCCCAUCUCCCCCAAAUCCAAACCUCUAAGCCUCUCCAAAACCGCAAACCCUUCAUUUUCUGCUUCCUUGUAAAAUCCACAAGCUUCCAAGCAAUACAGCAACCUCACCCUCUGUA
rnacentral:misc_RNA from 1 species